UGCGCAGGCGGGGAUGUAAGUCAGUGGUGAAAAGCUGCCGCUUAACGGUAGUCUUGCCAAUGAUACUGCAUCUCUUGAGUAUGGUUAAGGUAGGCGGAAUGUGCAGUGUGGCGGUGAAAUGCAUAGAUAUUGCACAGAACGCCGAUUGCGAAGGCAGCUUACUGAGCCAUAACUGACGCUGAGGCACGAAAGCGUGGGGAGCGAACAGGAUUAGAUACCCUGGUAGUCC
rnacentral:rRNA from 1 species